rnacentral:lncRNA from 1 species
GCAGACUGAACUGGUAAACAUACACUGCUGCUACACCAGGUUGUUUUGUAUGUACUGGGACAAGUAUUGGCCACCAGCUGAUGCAGAAUAGCAGAGCACAGAGACUGAAAAAGAAAGAAAUUAAAAGACUGCAAUAACUGGGCUGUCAACAUCAGGAAAGAUACUCAAUGAAAUCUCACAGUGAUCCACCUGUAACAUGAUGAAUGUCCUCACCGUUGUUAAAAACAAGUUUAAAAUUUCCUUGGAACAUUUCAAGCUCUGAGUGCUCAAAAGGUGACAAGGGAAGGGAAAGAAGGACGGCAGAUUGCUUCCUGAACGCUUCAUGGAGAAGUCAGUGGAGCACUGAGCAUGCUCCAUCCAAGCUACAGUAAGACUGUGUACGCACUUGUUGGUCAUCGCAAACGGGGUAGAUCCAGGAACUCAGCCCAUGCAGGAGCAGUUCCAACUUCUGCUGGCAUACAGUAGUAAUGCAUGGGAAUUAGAUUGCACUUCUGAGCCGUAGAACAGCUGCCAACUUACCAAGUCACCCAUGCAAAAUAGAGUAAUGC